rnacentral:rRNA from 1 species
AUUGCCCCAGUAACGGCGAGUGAAGCGGCAACAGCUCAAAUUUGAAAUCUGGCCCCCGGGUCCGAGUUGUAAUUUGUAGAGGAUGCUUUUGGUGAGGUGCCUUCCGAGUUCCCUGGAACGGGACGCCAUAGAGGGUGAGAGCCCCGUCUGGUCGGACACCGAUCCUCUGUAAAGCUCCUUCGACGAGUCGAGUAGUUUGGGAAUGCUGCUCUAAAUGGGAGGUAUAUGUCUUCUAAAGCUAAAUAUUGGCCAGAGACCGAUAGCGCACAAGUAGAGUGAUCGAAAGAUGAAAAGCACUUUGAAAAGAGGGUUAAACAGUACGUGAAAUUGUUGAAAGGGAAGCGCUUAUGACCAGACUUGGGCCCGGUUAAUCAUCCAGCGUUCUCGCUGGUGCACUUGGCCGGCCCAGGCCAGCAUCAGUUCGGCGCGGGGGACAAAGACUUUGGGAACGUGGCUCCCCCGGGAGUGUUAUAGCCCAUUGUGCAAUACCCUGCGCUGGACUGAGGUUCGCGCAUCUGCAAGGAUGCUGGCGUAAUGGUCAUCAACGACCCGUCUUGAAACACGGACCAAGGAGUCGUCUUCGUAUGCGAGUGUUCGGGUGUCAAACCCCUACGCGUAAUGAAAGUGAACGCAGGUGAGAGCUUCGGCGCAUCAUCGACCGAUCCUGAUGUUCUCGGAUGGAUUUGAGUAAGAGCAUACGGGGCCGGACCCGAAAGAAGGUGAACUAUGCUUGUAUAGGGUGAAGCCAGAGGAAACUCUGGUGGAGGCUCGCAGCGGUUCUGACGUGCAAAUCGAUCGUCAAAUAUGAGCAUGGGGGGCGAAAGACUAAU